CAUAUUGCUAAGGAAAAUCAAAGCAGCUGCUGGGCGUAAGAUGGUGCACGGACGCUGAGGCUCGCGUGUUUAUUUUUGUUCAAAACUACCACUUCUUUCCGCUUAUGCAUAAUAUAACAUUUUAUUUCCUUCAUGUUUCGGACAUCUUUCCUACACAAAUGUAGGGUGUGUGAUUUUCCUCCGUUUUACGGACUAGACGCCAUCUCUGGGUGUACAUUAUACUGAAGAGAGUGUACCUAUCCUUCUUAGCUUAGCUUAGUAGUUUAGCUUAGGUAGCUAACUCGUUAUUCACUCAUCAGCGAAUUAUCAAGGUUGAGAAUUGAAUGGCGCACCAGAACGCAGCUUGUUGAUGCUUUUCUGUCUCCGAAUAUCUGAUGAGACCGUAGUAAAAGGCCCUGAAACGAGGGAGGUCAGUCAGGAUGUCAAUCACAAACACACCGACCAGUAAUGAUGCAUGCCUGAGCAUUGUGCACAGCCUGAUGUGCCACAGGCAGGGUGGUGAGAGUGAGACUUUUGCCAAACGAGCCAUUGAGAGCCUGGUGAAAAAGCUGAAGGAGAAGAAGGAUGAACUUGACUCACUUAUCACAGCCAUUACCACCAACGGGGCUCAUCCCAGCAAGUGUGUGACCAUCCAGCGCACUUUGGAUGGCCGGCUUCAGGUGGCUGGACGUAAAGGUUUCCCUCACGUGAUCUACGCCCGCCUAUGGCGGUGGCCCGACCUCCACAAGAAUGAGUUGAAACACGUCAAAUACUGCCAGUUUGCUUUCGACCUGAAGUGUGACAGCGUCUGCGUGAACCCUUAUCACUAUGAGCGGGUGGUUUCACCAGGUAUAGACCUGUCUGGACUUACACUGGGUCCUGGUUCCUCUGGUCUCAUGGUCAAAGACGAGUAUGACUAUGAUUGCCCAUCAUCUUUACCCAGUUCUGAGGGCCACAUCCAGACUAUUCAGCACCCUCCUACAAGACCCAUGCCUGAGCCAGCCUUCAGCAGUCCUGCCCUACUUCCUCCUGCUGAAGGCAGCAGCUCGGCCUCCACCUCUGCCUUCUCUAGUAUCCCAGUGGGAUCCUCAACUCAGCCCAGUAUUCUCUCAGGGAGCCGUAGCAGCGAAGGGCUGCUACAGAUUGCUUCAGGGACAGGGCAGGGGACGCAACAGAAUGGCUUUCCCCCAGGCAGCUCCUCCACUUACCAUCACAAUCCAACCUCCACUUGGACAAGAAGCAGCAGUUUUACUCCCAGUGUGCCUCCACAACAAAAUGGCCAUAUACAACAUCAUCCACCCAUGCACCAUCCAGGACACUACUGGCCUGUACACAAUGAAAUAGCAUUUCAGCCACCUAUAUCAAACCACCCAGCUCCUGAGUACUGGUGCUCCAUUGCCUACUUUGAGAUGGAUGUGCAGGUUGGCGAGACUUUUAAGGUUCCCUCAAACUGCCCCAUUGUGACCGUGGAUGGCUAUGUGGACCCAUCAGGCGGAGACCGCUUUUGUCUGGGCCAGCUUAGCAACGUGCACAGAACUGAGGCCAUUGAAAGAGCAAGGCUGCACAUUGGUAAGGGUGUUCAGCUGGAGUGUAAAGGUGAGGGUGAUGUGUGGGUGCGCUGCCUCAGCGACCACGCUGUCUUCGUGCAGAGCUACUACUUGGAUCGAGAAGCUGGCCGUGCCCCUGGAGAUGCUGUGCAUAAGAUCUACCCAAGUGCAUACAUCAAGGUGUUUGACCUACGUCAGUGCCACCGGCAGAUGCAACAGCAGGCAGCUACGGCUCAGGCAGCAGCUGCAGCUCAGGCGGCAGCGGUGGCUGGAAACAUCCCUGGGCCUGGAUCUGUGGGUGGCAUCGCUCCCGCAAUCAGUCUGUCUGCUGCUGCUGGCAUCGGAGUAGAUGAUCUGCGGAGGCUGUGCAUCCUGCGCAUGAGCUUCGUGAAAGGCUGGGGUCCUGAUUACCCAAGACAGAGCAUUAAGGAGACACCGUGCUGGAUCGAGAUUCACUUGCACCGCGCCUUGCAGCUGCUGGACGAGGUGCUACACACCAUGCCCAUAGCUGACCCCCAGCCACUGGACUGAGCACAACAUUCUCUCUCUCCCUGUUAGAGCCAGGCGCUGAACUGAGUGAGGUUUUGUUUUUCCACAAUCAGGUAACUAAUGCCGAUGAACUGUGCGACAGCGUGGACGAGUUCAAAGCUUAUCCUCAGCCUCUUGUUAAACAAAAGGCGAGAUCAAGGAUGUUGGCACAACAAGAAUUUGACUUUUUCCAAUAGGUAAUAACAGUGGAAAGAUGCUCCAUGAUUUCAUCCAAACACCUUAUCGUAGCUGUUCCCAAAGUACUAACGAUGGUGCAAAAGUUGUAUUAACAAACAAGGAAUUGAAUUUUGCGCAUUUUGUUUUUCACAUGGAGGUAUUGUAAAACCAGGAAUUGCAAAACGGACAUAAUUUCCUUUAUACAGACAGGUGUUUUUCCAGAAUUCAUGGACAUAGAUUCCACAGUCUGCAACAUAAAGAUGUUCAGGGACAUUUCAUGCAUGUCUGUGCUACCAAAAACUAAUCACUGCUUUACAGGGGAAUGUUUAAUGAAUUACAUUUAUGUCGUAUUGGGCCAUGAAGUUACUGACCUGUGUAUUAAUAGUGCAGGAACUUGGCCUUGUUUCAUUAACUAUAAAACUAUGUAGGGUUUUUUUUCCAGUUUGUAAAUUUCAGAGCCCUCUGCUUCUCCCCCCCCCCCAUACCAAACCCACAUUCUCAGUUGAAAGCAUGUUUGUUUCCAGAGUCACAUUUUAGGAAUGACAAAAAAAAAGAAGCUGGAAACUGAGUAGCCCUGUAUGAGCAGGGGUCAUGCCAGAAAAAUGUAAGCAGAUGCAUAUAAUUGACAAAUUAGCUCCAAUGACAAUAUUGCAGAUUUUCUAAAAUAUUCUUAAAAAAAAAAAAUACAGGAUUGUUACACAUGGAGAUGCAGACUGCACCCUUAACUGCUGUUUCAGAAAUUGAGCCAUCCCUUAGCUUAUUAAACCAUGUAGCAUUUUUUUUUCCUUGUUGGAAGUUAUUAAAGCAAUUUUAACUAGUUUGACCCUGAUGUUUUCUAACAUGUAAACACAUUGUACUACAGGUAAGAGAUAAGAAGACAGAUGAAGCGAUGACUGUGCUGUUUGCAAUGUAAAACUUAAGUGAGAUCAGCUUCUUUUGUAUGGGCACAAUGUUUUUUUUGUUUUUUGAAGCUAAUUCAUUAUCAAUUAAUAUAGCACUUUAUUGAAGGGUUUAUUUUUUUCCACCUUCACUAAGGUUCAUUCGCAGCUUCAUUAUUAAACAUUUAAAAGGUUUUCUUUUUUCUUUUUUGGAGGGUGGGGGAAUAAUACCCAUACCUAUGUGCUUUGUAUGUCUAAAUGCUUGUUGAAAGGGCUUGUAGUGAUUUCCACUUCAUAAAAUGUUCUUGGCCUUGAAGUAAGACUCCUAAAGAUACCUCUCUCUUUCUCUCUCUAAACUCAAUUUCGUACCUUUUUAAAUUCCCAUUGUUCUCAGUGAGUAAAUCUCAUUGAUGUGUUAAUUAGAAUGAAACUAGAAAACGAACAUGUUUUCUAUGCAACCUUGAAGCCAUAUGAAACGAGAGAACAGAGAAUAACGUCAGUAUUACUUAAGGUGUAUGAACGUCCUUCCUCUUGCUUUUAAGUACAAACGGACAGAGUUUAGACAAUCCCAUUGGCAUGGCCUGUCUUAGUGGUCUUACCUAGAAUGUUUCCUUUUGCUACUUUUAUGAUAUGCAGCCUGAUAUGUCCUAUAGCAAUUUGUAUUGAAAAGUGGAUUGCAGUUUCCAUUGAAACAUUUGUUCUUUCAGGUAGAUAAUUGAUUUUAUCAGUUAACUGAAAUAUAUUUCAAAAUAGGAUGAACAAUUUCUGCUGUCUUGUGUGUUUUUGUCCUUCAUGUGUGUUCAUGUUUAACACUAGGUUUUGAUUCCACUUUAUACACAUUUCUCCUAAGCUAAAAUUGAGAUUUGCUGGUAUGGAAAUAUCAGAUGAAUUAGCAUUUAUGAAGUAAAGCCUUGUGACUUAGAUUUGACUUGUUAAAAACUGAUCCAAUUUAAUGAGUAUUUGUCAUUAACUGAAGCUCUUUUCCCAUCACAACUGGAUAAUGUUCACAUGAAACACAAACCUGGCUGACAGACACCACUGCCAUAGUCAGUUAAAUUUGGAGUAUUUACAGGGGUUUACACAGAAUGGUGCAGGGAUGUGAGUGGUGGUAACUUGAUCAUUUUACAUCCAUUGGAGAGCAGAAAGUCAUCUAAGAAUACAGAAUUUCCCUGUUAACAUGGCAGGUGUGUGUACAUGGGUUACAUAGUAUUCCAAAAUGUUAAUUGAAAUCUAUUUUCUUUUUCUUUGUGUAGCAUUUUGUAAGUUUGUCAUGAGGCGGCGAUCAUGAAAAGAUGCAUUGUGUAAUGCUAGCAACUCCAGCCAUGAGACAGAUCUUUCAACAAGAAAAAGUUUAUUAAUUGAAAGACAAGCCACAAAUGAACUGGACCCUCCCCCAACCCCACAAAUCUCCUGUUGAGUAAACUGGCAUACGGUCUGAACUCCCUUCACAGUCAGUGCACGGAUUGAUCCAUCAAAACAAAGAGCUACAAAAGCAACACCACCUGCUUAUAGUAUUAACUAUACCACACAAACGUAUGAAUUGAUUUAUCCUAUUUAUAUAUGUAGCAAUAUUUAUUUCUAUAUAAUAGCAAGUUUUGGUCCCCUGUACAGAUAUCCAGUGUGAAACAAAGGGAAUAACAGUGUGAUGAAUUGACAAGAUUAAACAGUACGACGUAACGCACAACAGCGUUCGUCCAACAGCUGGCACCACUGGUGUGAGGUAGGGUGACGGUUACACAAACAACUCAAGACACGCACGCACACAAAUCUGUUACUAAACAAUUAAAUUGACAACUCACACUGAUGACAAAUCCAUCCACGAGUCCAGUUGCAGAGAUCAGGUGUUAGUUAGCUAGCAGUGAUUAUUUAUUUGCAGCGAGUGUUCUAGUGAAAAAUGGCCCUCCUCAGUGCGAUGCAGUUGCUUUGACAAAACAGAAAAACUGUUGCUGGGUUAAGGCACUAGCAUGAACCCGAGGUACAUUAAAUCCCUGACAUUAGCUCGGUUUUAUGACAGCACAGGUGCAAGAGAGGACAUGAAGCUGUACAACAGCCUGGAACAGCCAAUAUCAACACUUCCAAUGUUUCGUUUGACUUUUUUGGUCGUUUUGUUUUGUUUUUUGGUCCGAUCAAUCAAUCAAACAAGCCAAAUAAAUAAAUAUAUAUUUCUCCCAACAAAACCAUCAAACUCACCAGGUCUGCACUGGAUACAUAGAGGAUGUAAAAUGAAUCCUCUCCUAAGACCAGACUGAUCUGACAAACAGUAGGUAAGGAGAACGGCUCAAGGAAGAGACUGGACAUCUCUGCACAGCUCACUUGAGGUUAUAGCAGCACAAUAAACAGCAAGAUUUCUGACAAAGCCACAUGGGGUGGGGGGGCAAUGGCCAACGGUACACAUACAGUGAAAUUCAGUGGUGUUUGUUUUUCCUGUGGAGCUAGUGGCUUGGAAUUGAGUUCUUGGUCAGUUGGGGGGAAAAAAACAGAAAAAAAAAAAAACUCUUUUUUCAG